rnacentral:rRNA from 1 species
GACGAACGCUGGCGGCGUGCUUAACACAUGCAAGUCGAACGGAAAGGCCCUGCUUUUGUGGGGUGCUCGAGUGGCGAACGGGUGAGUAACACGUGAGUAACCUGCCCUUGACUUUGGGAUAACUUCAGGAAACUGGGGCUAAUACCGGAUAGGAGCUCCUGCUGCAUGGUGGGGGUUGGAAAGUUUCGGCGGUUGGGGAUGGACUCGCGGCUUAUCAGCUUGUUGGUGGGGUAGUGGCUUACCAAGGCUUUGACGGGUAGCCGGCCUGAGAGGGUGACCGGCCACAUUGGGACUGAGAUACGGCCCAGGCGCCUACGGGAGGCAGCAGUGGGGAAUAGUGCACAAUGGGCGGAAGCCUGAUGCAGCAACGCCGCGUGCGGGAUGACGGCCUUCGGGUGGUAAACCGCUUUCGCCUGUGACGAAGCGUGAGUGACGGUAAUGGGUAAAGAAGCACCGGCUAACUACGU